GCCCGCCUAGCUCAAUCGGAUAGAGCGUCAGACUCUUAGGCGGGUUGAAUCCUCUUCACAGGGUAUCUGAAGGCUGCGAGUUCGACCCUCGCGGUGGGCU